AGAGUUUGAUCCUGGCUCAGAUUGAACGCUGGCGGCAUGCCUUACACAUGCAAGUCGAACGGCAGCGCGGGGCAACCUGGCGGCGAGUGGCGAACGGGUGAGUAAUACAUCGGAACGUGCCCAGUAGUGGGGGAUAGCCCGGCGAAAGCCGGAUUAAUACCGCAUACGACCCACGGGUGAAAGGGGGGGAUCGCAAGACCUCUCGCUAUUGGAGCGGCCGAUGUCAGAUUAGGUUGUUGGUGGGGUAAAAGCCUACCAAGCCGACGAUCUGUAGCUGGUCUGAGAGGACGACCAGCCACACUGGGACUGAGACACGGCCCAAACUCCUACGGGAGGCAGCAGUGGGGAAUUUUGGACAAUGGGCGCAAGCCUGAUCCAGCCAUGCCGCGUGCGGGAAGAAGGCCUUCGGGUUGUAAACCGCUUUUGUCAGGGAAGAAACGCUCUGGAAUAAUACUCCGGGGUAAUGACGGUACCUGAAGAAUAAGCACCGGCUAACUACGUGCCAGCAGCCGCGGUAAUACGUAGGGUGCAAGCGUUAAUCGGAAUUACUGGGCGUAAAGCGUGCGCAGGCGGUCGUAAAAGACAGAUGUGAAAUCCCCGGGCUUAACCUGGGAACUGCAUUUGUGACUGUACGGCUGGAGUGCGGCAGAGGGGGAUGGAAUUCCGCGUGUAGCAGUGAAAUGCGUAGAUAUGCGGAGGAACACCGAUGGCGAAGGCAAUCCCCUGGGCCUGCACUGACGCUCAUGCACGAAAGCGUGGGGAGCAAACAGGAUUAGAUACCCUGGUAGUCG
rnacentral:rRNA from 1 species